AUCCAGCUGAUGAGUUCCAAAUUGGACUAAAGGCGUGUCCUGGAU
rnacentral:hammerhead_ribozyme from 1 species